rnacentral:rRNA from 1 species
AUUGAACGCUGGCGGCAGGCCUAACACAUGCAAGUCGAACGGUAACAGGAAGAAGCUUGCUUCUUUGCUGACGAGUGGCGGACGUGUGAGUAAUGUCUGGGAAACUGCCUGAUGGAGGGGGAUAACUACUGGAAACGGUAGCUAAUACCGCAUAACGUCGCAAGACCAAAGAGGGGGACCUUCUGGCCUCUUGCCAUCGGAUGUGCCCAGAUGGGAUUAGCUAGUAGGUGGGGUAACGGCUCACCUAGGCGACGAUCCCUAGCUGGUCUGAGAGGAUGACCAGCCACACUGGAACUGAGACACGGUCCAGACUCCUACGGGAGGCAGCAGUGGGGAAUAUUGCACAAUGGGCGCAAGCCUGAUGCAGCCAUGCCGCGUGUAUGAAGAAGGCCUUCGGGUUGUAAAGUACUUUCAGCGGGGAGGAAGGGAGUAAAGUUAAUACCUUGGCUCAUUGACGUUACCCGCAGAAGAAGCACCGGCUAACUACGUG